UUCGCACGCCACAGGUGAUCAGCAACACACUUAUCCCUAGUUUUUAUUCAUUAUUUUCUCUAGGUUUGCUAUCUUUUUGUCGCGCCUAAAAAUCAGAAAGUUCGGCCUAAUUAUUUUCGGGUAGAAAUUUGUAUUUUACUACAUCUGUUACAUCAUUGUUGAAUAUCUUGCUGACUUGCAUCGGGAAGUUUAUGAAAAAAUGAGAAAUCUUCAGAAAACUCUCCUAAGUUCAUCCUUAACAGAAACCAACUUAGUAACAGUCAAAUCUGGAAAAGGAGCCAAAAAAGCACAUUUGCUUAUAUUAAACUAAAAAAAUAUAGAAAAUUGCUGCACUGUUUACACUUUCUCAAGCGGAAACAGAAUAGGUAUAUAUAUGUGUAUUUCUGUAUCCACGUAUUACACAAUCAUUCACUGGCAGUUGGGUUUGUAUUUGAUUUUGAAAGAAAUUAUGUUACUUAAAUUUUUUUUAGCCAUUUACGUUUAAAUAAACCGAAAAUCAGUGAGGAAACUUUUUAAGGGAUGAAAACUAGUGAAUUUCAGUUAAAUCACAAAAUGGUGCAAAUAGUUGUCAGAUACUUUUUGGUCGAUCAACGUUCACAAAUAACAACUUAUCACUCAUGCGAAGUAACGGAAAAAUUAUAUUUUUUUCUCUCUGGA